rnacentral:rRNA from 1 species
AUACGUAGGUGACAAGCGUUAUCCGGAUUUACUGGGCGUAAAGGGCGUGUAGGCGGUCUUGCAAGUCAGAAGUGAAAUUCCUGAGCUCAACUCGGGCGCUGCUUCUGAAACUGCAGGACUUGAGUGCUGGAGGGGAUAGCGGAAUUCCUAGUGGAGCGGUAAAAUGCGCAGAUAUUAGGAAGAACACCGGUGGCGAAGGCGGCUAUCUGGACAAUAACUGACGCUGAGGCGCGAAAGCGUGGGGAGCAAACAGGAUUAUAUACCCUGGUAGUCCACGCUGUAAACGAUGAAUACUAGGUGUAGGGGGUAUCGACUCCCUCUGUGCCGCAGUUAACACAAUAAGUAUUCCGCCUGGGGAGUACGGCCGCAAGGUUGAAACUCAAAUGAAUUGACGGGG